AGAAAAUGCUUAUGAUGACUCAGGUCGUUAAAAUUUCAACUAGUUAAAACCUACAAAACACAGACACCCAAAAACUAAUUUAUUCCUCCCAAAUCAUGAAAGCGUACUCUUCUUUCUCCGAACAAGGCCGGUGGAAUGAAUGGGGUGCUGGUUCCGUUAUACCCAAAACAACUGAAAAUGUUUGUCUCGUCAUGUAUCAAAUCGAGACUCCAGAUCUGCAGCAAUCAUCUCGGUAUAAUUUAGUCAUGUUCUCAGGCUUAUUCCUUUUCUUAACUCUUAAGCAUCUGAUUUGAAUAUAUUAUCCUCUUGUCAUAGUUAUCUCUAUUAUGUCGGUAGUGUGGCACAUGUUCCGUCUCUUCGCUCGACCCGUGAUUUAAAAUCAUUGUAUGUUAUUAUGCUUGUGAGUUUUAUUUAUGUUCUUCCUCGUUAAAGCUUUUGAAUGUGCUCUUUUGUUUUGUGAUUGUGAAUUAAGCUUUCCGAUUUAUUUAUUUCUUGAAAUUGGACACUAAUGGUGAUCAAACAUCCAUGACUAGAUAUGUUAGUUUUAUUUUUGGUAUAUGCACACAACUUGUUUGAUGAAAUUGCACUCAUGUAAGUUUUAUUUUUUUGUUGUAACCACAAUUUUGUUGCCACAAUACAAAUGUUAUACUGGAGUCACCUAUUUUGUUGGUAUUAUUUCUAUGAAUUAUUUUGUUGCUGGUGUUUCUAUCAGUUAUCAUGUGUAGAUUAGUGUGCAAAAGAAUGUCCUGUUUGAAGGGGGCAUAUACAUUCAAAAGUAGUAUGAUGCUAUUAGGGGCAGAGCUACUCUAUGCGUGACCCCAUGUGUUAACAGCGCAAGAAUGAUUAAAAAGCUUUGCUAGGUUGCAGUGGCAAGCACCAUUUUCCUUUAAUCAAGUUGCCAUGGUUCAAUUCUGGCUACCUUUUUCUUAUAUUUUUUUUUCAAAACCAUUCAGGUUGUGAACCGUAUAUAUUAUUGUAUUUACUAGGCUAUAAUUACAAGUAGAAUUCAAUAUGCAAAAAUUUCAAUUAACUUUUUUAGUAAUUUAUGUAAUAUGACUUUGUAGUGGUGGGGUAUGGAGGCUUAUUGUGAGGUAGAUGGUGGAUCAUAUAAGCGACUUUCUUUCGUUACAUUUAAAAUGGUUAUUUUGAUUUGAAUUAGAUUAGUUUAAAUGCUAAUAUAAUAGUACGUUAUGAUAUGUUAAUUUUUUUUUCUUAUUAGUGUAUCAUCCCGUGUGAUUUAUUUCAAAAGAAACUUGGCUUUCAACUGAUCUGAAUUAAAAGAUUUGUUGAUAUCUCUGUUAUAAUGAUUUUGUACAUCUGUAUCUUGAAUUGUACUCAACUUUAUAGUUGUUGUAUCAUUUUAUUAGAACAUAGGUUACAUAGCUAAAGAUUUGUUUAUGGUAAAGUAGGACAGAUGUAAAAGGUUCUUUUUUUUAUCAGAUGAGGUAAUUGCCAAUGCUGCAUACAUUAGCACACAUGGCAAGCGUAUUCUUGUUGCUGAUGAGUCAACUGGUACCAUUAGUAAACGUUUAUGCAGCAUAAAUGUUUAGAUUGUUGAGUCGAAAGUGAAUGCUAGGAACAUGUAAAACAUCAAACGUUUAGAAAAUCAAGUCAGCAGAACUAAUAAAAAGGUUUAGGACAUUGAAGGGUUGUGUGGUUUAGUCUCAACAAACGGGAGUACUUUUGAUUAUUGUAGACACUGUAUGGCGAGACAUGAAGUUGUCAGGGACAAACACCAAAAGGUACCUGAUACUAAUUUUUCUAGUAUUUGUUCUUCUUUGUAUCAUCUUAAUUUUUUGUUGUUACAGGAUAAGCGCCUUAUGUUUUGUUUUUAGAAAUCUAGCAACACUUCCAUGUCAUAGCAUUUCUAUGUAUUCAGAAUAUGUUUCGUCUUGGGCAGUUGGUAUUACAACUUUGUGUGGUGAUAUGGACUGGUUUGGUAACAUACUUUUGUGCUGGUCAACGGGUUGGAUUGGAUUUCUCUCUCUCUUUAUCUUUCUCUCGGUGUAAACUAUAUUAAUAAUCUAGUUUUUUUAAUGAAGCAAUUUAUGAGAUUGCAUGCACUAAAAGUACACGUUGGGCGGUUUGAACCUUUUUUUUUUGUUUUUAAGUUAAAGUUGUACCAUGCUUAGGGACCUAACAUAACUUGUUGAAAAUUGACAUUUGUUGUUGGUUUGUAGUGUGGCUCUGGAAGAUCAGUUGCUCAAAUCAAGGCUGGUUGCGUGGCUUGUUUGGGCCGUAGAAAGGGGGAACAUAAUUUAUCAAGAUUCUAUCUUCUGUGAUGUGUGUGGUGAAGGAGUGUUGUUAUAAUAUUUUUUUUGUGAUACAAGAUUACAUCUUCCAUGGGUAUCGGUUGCACGAUGUACUCAUUUAUGAUCUCAGCUGGUUAAACAUAGCAAUUAGGAUUCCUAUUAUCCUAAAUGCACCUAAGAAAAACUGACUUAUUAAAUGCUCAAGUAUACUUUGUGCAGACAAUGUAAGGCGAGACAAGCAGCUGUUGUCAAGGACGAAACAAGAAACACCACAAAAGGGCAAAUAUCAUGAGAAGUUUUGGAGCUAAGUUUUAUCAUAGUGAAAUUCUCACCUAAAAGAACGUUUAGACUCUUCGUGUAAACAUUUGGAAUAUGUUACUUAUUACACAAUGUUUUGCUAACAUUAGGAAUAUGUUUCAAAUUGAACUUAUUAUUGAAGUUAUAAUAUUAUGAUUUCUACA